rnacentral:rRNA from 1 species
AGUGAACGCUGGCGGUAGGCCUAACACAUGCAAGUCGAACGGCAGCACAGUAAGAGCUUGCUCUUACGGGUGGCGAGUGGCAGACGGGUGAGGAAUACAUCGGAAUCUACUUUUUCGUGGGGGAUAACGUAGGGAAACUUACGCUAAUACCGCAUACGACCUACGGGUGAAAGCAGGGGAUCUUCGGACCUUGCGCGAUUGAAUGAGCCGAUGUCGGAUUAGCUAGUUGGCGGGGUAAAGGCCCACCAAGGCGACGAUCCGUAGCUGGUCUGAGAGGAUGAUCAGCCACACUGGAACUGAGACACGGUCCAGACUCCUACGGGAGGCAGCAGUGGGGAAUAUUGGACAAUGGGCGCAAGCCUGAUCCAGCCAUACCGCGUGGGUGAAGAAGGCCUGCGGGUUGUAAAGCCCUUUUGUUGGGAAAGAAAAGCAGCAGGUUAAUACCCCGCUGUUCUGACGGUACCCAAAGAAUAAGCACCGGCUAACUUCGU